GACGAACGCUGGCGGCGUGCUUAACAUAUGCAAGUCGAACGGAAAGGCCCCCUUGUGGGGUACUCGAGUGGCGAACGGGUGAGUAACACGUGAGUAACCUACCCUUUACUUUGGGAUAACUUCAGGAAACUGGGGCUAAUACCGGAUAGGAGCUCCUGCUGCAUGGUGGGGGUUGGAAAGUUUCGGCGGUUGGGGUUGGACUCGCGGCUUAUCAGCUUGUUGGUGGGGUAGUGGCUCACCAAGGCUUUGACGGGUAGCCGGCCUGAGAGGGUGACCGGCCACAUUGGGACUGAGAUACGGCCCAGACUCCUACGGGAGGCAGCAGUGGGGAAUAUUGCACAAUGGGCGGAAGCCUGAUGCAGCAACGCCGCGUGCGGGAUGACGGCCUUCGGGUUGUAAACCGCUUUCGCCUGUGACGAAGCGUGAGUGACGGUAAUGGGUAAAGAAGCACCGGCUAACUACGUG
rnacentral:rRNA from 1 species